CUUGUCAGCGGGGAACCGUAGUAACAACGAAUGACAAGAAGUCAGCCGAAGUCAUAGUAGCGAUGACUAUGCGUGAAGGAC
rnacentral:ncRNA from 1 species